rnacentral:rRNA from 1 species
GACGAACGCUGGCGGCGUGCUUAACACAUGCAAGUCGAACGGUAAGGCCCUUCGGGGUACACGAGUGGCGAACGGGUGAGUAACACGUGGGUGAUCUGCCCUACACUUCGGGAUAAGCCUGGGAAACUGGGUCUAAUACCGGAUAGGACCACUGCCUGCAUGGGUGGUGGGGGAAAGCUUUUGCGGUGUGGGAUGGGCCCGCGGCCUAUCAGCUUGUUGGUGGGGUGAUGGCCUACCAAGGCGACGACGGGUAGCCGGCCGGAGAGGGUGACCGGCCACACUGGGACUGAGAUACGGCCCAGACUCCUACGGGAGGCAGCAGUGGGGAAUAUUGCACAAUGGGCGCAAGCCUGAUGCAGCGACGCCGCGUGAGGGAUGACGGCCUUCGGGUUGUAAACCUCUUUCAGCACCGACGAAGCGCAAGUGACGGUAGGUGCAGAAGAAGGACCGGCCAACUACGUGCCAGCAGCCGCCGUAAGAC